ACGAAUACGGGACUCAACUGAGGCUCCGUAAUUCGAAUGAGUACAAUUUAAAUCCUUUAAUGAGGACCAAUUGGACGGCAAUUCUGGCUCCAGCAGCCGCGGUACCUCUAGCUCCAA
rnacentral:ncRNA from 1 species